GCCGGAGAAGCCAUCCUCGUGGAGCAGGAGUGGUACUAGCUGGGAUGCUAACGUGGGAUGCGAGAGGCUUAGGUUCAGCCUCUGUUUUAGGAGGUGCUGAAGAAGGUGGCACUUGCCAUCUCUCGGCUGUGUGUAAAAGAAGAGCUGCUCUGGAGCAGAGCUGUGCAGACGUGCUAACCGUAAAACAGUAGUGAAUCCAUAGUAAAACAGCCAGAAAUGAAGAUGUAGCGCUCAUAAUACGCAAGUUUCAGGGUAAACUACUUCAAGGAAUUACUUUAGAGCAACAAAGUUGUGAAGGGUCUGGAGCACAGGUCUUACCAGGAGCAGCUGAGGGAGCUGGGAUAGUUCAGUGUGGAGAAGAGGAGGCUCAGGGGAGACCUCAUUGCUCUGUACAACUGCCUGAAAGGGAAUCGUCCUCUUCGCCCAGAUGACAGUGAUAUGACGAGAGCUGCUUAUACAGAUGUUGGUUUUACCAGUCCAAAGGAGUACCAGGCAGUGAAGAAUCUACCCUGAAAUGAUCUUAAGCCAACGCAAUCACGUUACAAAAGGUAGUUUGUAGAGUUCAGACUUCUCUUCGAGUAAAUUACUGAUAUUCAGAAUGCUUUCUAUGUCUUGGCAGUAUAAACUUCACUGAAAAUAUGUUUUGAAAAAGAACAUGGGAAGAUGUACAUUCUUAGCCCUGCUGCUAUCUGAUAAGACUUCAGAAUUCUUGGCUUGUUUUUUUUUUGUUAUUUUGUUGUGUUUUGGGUUUUUUUUUUUUUUUUUUUUUUUAUAUUGAAGGGAAAAGCCCAAAUCUUCUGAAGAACUGAAUUGUAGGACAUAUAAAAUGAGGUAUGUCAGAGGUAGAAAUUUAUGAGUAGGGAUCAUCUGAGAACAAAAAUGGUGUUGUUUAUAAACCUAGGGGUCUGUAGAUUUAAGAGGCAUUCAGGAAGAAAAUUGCAAGUAGAAGUCAGGGUGGUUUUGUACUACUACCAGUCUCCUCCCUGAGUUCGGGAGGUAUUCAAGAGCCAUUAUGGCCUGCUGCAGAAUCCCAGAGUGGCUGGAUGGUAACGUUCCCAAAGCACAAGCCUUCUUUCUGACGUGGCUGUACCUUCUGGGAGCAUCACGUGUGUCCCUGCUCUGGUAGCUCUGGGUAUGAACAGUACAGUUCUGUUCGAUUGUCUUUCUGCACUCCAGAGAAGCUUCCUACCCGAGAGCUCUUGUAAACCAGGAGGGCACAGUGAAAGUAAAAGAUGAUCUGUCACUUCCCAAGAGGACUUGGUGCUUGGGGGUAGAGUAACAAUAGGUGCACAGUUCUGGCAGUUGUACACACAUAACCUGUAGCAAAGACUGAUGGAUUAAACUGUGAAUGAGAACAGAAGAGCAUAUAUAUGCAGUAAUAUAAACAGCUGUCUAAGGUGGCUCCUUACAUCUCUAGAAUUUAUGUGUGCACCAAUGCAAUUUUGAACAAAUCUCUUUCUGGUGCUGACUGGAAUUCAGCUGGACUGGAGUUGAAAAAAUACUGGGACCUAUCAGCUGCUGUUGCCAUUUGCUUUACAUCCUACAUAUUCUGUACCGAAUAAGAAACUUUAUUUACUCCUGGUUCUUUCUAUUGUGCUAUCCUCAUAUUGUUCAUAAUGCUGCGAGUACACAGAGUUCACAAGCUGAUGCAGACUUUUCCCUCUCAGUCACAAGUAGUCUUUUACUGUGUGACAGGAAUCUUUUGACACAAGUUGGAUUGCUGUCCCUUUGCAUUUCAUACUUAAACCGGUGGGUGAAAUUAGAAAUAUGAAAAAAAAAAAAAAAAAGAGAGAGAGAGAGAGAAAUCUUCAUUUUCCUUUA